GUUCAAUAGUUCUUGCUCAGCAUGUAGUCAUGCCCCUAGGCGCAGAUGUACAUCUAUCGUCUUCUCAUUUGUGGCAUAACAUAUUGUUUUAUAGAUCGGUUAGACAAGACACUGUGACUUUGCUGCAAUACCCGCCAAAGUUUCCGCAGUCUGCCACACACCAACGUGCGAUUCCUGUGCCAUUUCUGACUGUUAUUUGUCUCUUAGUCCCUCCAUUUCCCACUCUGGAAAAGUUGAUGUGCAUCCAAGUUUUGAUGCAGCACCCGGUGUGAAAACAGGAGUUGCUUUGCUAAAGGAAGUGAUGGAGGUAUCGCAUUUGACACUGCUAAAGUGUUUCUACAAACACUUGGCAGGCCUUUCCCUCCCUUCCUCCCCCUCUUCUCCCUGUGCUAUGUCAGGUAAUUGAGUAAAGCCUAUUCUGACGAGGAAAAGUGGGGACUGACACCUCCUCUGCCCCCAGCCUCUCUACCAAGUCUGGUGUGUUUUUCUGUACAUGUGCAUGCCUGUGACAAGAUGAAUCAGGCCAGAGUGUGUUGGGCCAGAAAACUUCCAAUUUCCACCAGCAGCAAGGAAACAAAUUACAGGAGAAACAAGUAUUUGCAUUAAGUCAACUCAGGAUGCCUUUUCAGCAUCAUACUCAUUUCCCUGAAGCAUUUAAUUACAGUGUACAGUGUACUAGGGGAAGCCAUGUUGGAGAGGAGGCAACAUGCACGCGUUGAGGCAGGCAGUUCUCCCGCUGCGCUCGCCACUCAGCCGCUAUUGGUCCUGUCAACAUGCAGCCAACAAGAGCCAAUCAAAACACUCCAACCACCCCAAAAGCUUCCCUUUCAUAGUACAAUUUGCAAAUAUAAAUAAAGCUGGGUUUGUUUGGAAGAGUUUGGAUGGCAAUUAAAAAUCGUCAUAUCUCUGGAUUUCUUUCUGUUCUAUAAGAUUAUGCUGUGCUGCACAGAGUCUUAUAUUUAGAGGUCACGUGAAAUAAAUAGUGAAAUAAGUUAUACAGAGAUGUUAUGCAGCUCUUAAUCUGCUUCUUUGUUGUAUUUUAAAGCUCUCGGACCCUCAAAAUUAGUCCUUAAUUAAUUAGUGCCUAACCACAGGCCCUUCUAAAGGGACCACCAUCUCUAGCCCAUUAACCCUGACAGACACAUGGUCUGCCCAUCUGAUUAGAAUUAGGCAAGGCCAGAGAGCCUGCUGCCCAGGCCUUGUGGCAGUCCUGUGGAGACGGGAAAAGCGUGCCAGACUGGCCAUUGAUAGAUUGGAUUUGGCCCACCCGCUCAUCCAUCUGUACCCCAAAGAUACACAUGCCUUGUGGGAGCUCGAAAGAGGACUGUUCAUAAAAUACAGAUAUAACUCCCUCAGCAACAUUUGUUUGCCUUUUUAAUCAUGACAUGUUUACUCAGUGCUGCUGGGAUUAGGAGCGAAGCAAAUUCCCUCAUGAAGUAGAAAGUCCAAAUAAUGCAAACAAAAAAUGUGGUUAUUAAUGUGAGUUGUUAUGGGAAAACAACUAAUUAUGGUUUUAAGUUGAUCUAUGAUCCAUGACUCACUUUACUUGAACAAUCACAAAUACGCACAUAUAACAGAUGUUUCAGAGUUUAAGGUUGUCAAAACUUGACAUCUCUCAUCAGGUAUUGCAUUUCCUUUAAUGAAUUGCCAAGGAUUUACAUUGAUGGUUUUAGCAGAUGCAGUUUUACCAGAGCAUCUUCAAAUAAAAUGCACAAAUCAUGUUAAUUGCAAGUAUCAGGACAGUUAGCUGCGAGAAUAAUGAAAAAGAUCAAAUCUGAGGUCAUCUGAUCAAUGUUAAUGUUGUAAUUGUGAGGUAUAAUUGUGGUUGUUAAAGUGAGCCAUGGAUAUGAGCAGCUAAUGAGAAACCCUGAAACGAUCACAUUUUAAGAGACAAAAGAUUUACGAUUUUCAAUUUGGUAGAAUAUCAAAGAGUUAUUAUGUAACUAUUAAACUAAGUCAAAGGAUAGUACUAUUUGGAGUAAAAGAACA